rnacentral:miRNA from 1 species
ACCAUGGCUUUCGAUUGUUACU